CUUUUUAAGUUUUACUUCUCAAAUACCUGAAGAAAUUAUUGAAGAUUUCAUGUCUUCCCAUUCACUUUUUCUGAAGAAGGGAUUUCUGAAAAUCUGUAAAUGAUUAUUUAGUGCUGAUGUAUGAUAGUUAUUGUUUAGUUAUGUUUUGUAGAAGCUUUUUGUUUAUCCAAGUCAGUUUUAAUUGGUUCUAGAAUGUGUUUGCUAAUUUUUAUUAGUUAUUUGUUUAGUUUUUGUUAGUUGUAGUAAUUUUGGUUUUGUCAUACUUAGUUACUAUAUUAUGUUUCUGCAUAAAUCAAUUUGGUAAUUAAUACUCAACAUAAGACACCAUUUACAAAAAGGUAUCCAGUUAUUGCUGAACAAACUGACUGGUGUUUUCUCCCAACCUUUGCCGUCGACAUUUUGCAGACUAGCAUAUGUGCUGCCAAUAGGCCUAUACAAGAAAAAGCACAAAAUCUCCAAGACAUUCACUCAAAGAGUUGCUGAAUGAUUAAUUAAGUGCAAGUUAAUUCAGACUGGCACACAAGUUGCAAAAGGAAGAUCCAAAGCUCUGAUGAUAAGCAAUUAAAAAACUGAAGGUUAAACCAGGGUGUGGCAAACCAUAAACUACACAUGGAGCAGCCUGAUGCAAAUAUCUAUGCAUCUGCAACCAAAACUAUCCUAUGAAAGUUAUCAGAAUCCUGUUUGCAAAACUCUUGCCUGUGUAUACAAAACUAUGUGAACAACAUCAACUCACUCUUGUGGCCUCAGCAUCUCUGGAAUCAUGAGACAAAUUCAGUUUCUCUUGAAGGAAUGAAUUCAAACCACUGGCAAACAAACUUUUCACACAACCAUCGAUCACUGACAAAUUCUCAGACUUGAUUAGAAAUGAUUAACAAAGUAGUUCAACUUUACAGUCUUACUACUGACAAAAUCAAUAUAUUUAAUAACAACAUGGGAAUAAAAAUCAGAUUAAUGAGCGGAUGAAGAAACAGGAUGCGGAAAGGACAGGUUGAAGGGCAAAGAAGCCAAUGAGCACCAGAAGCUCUGAAUUCAAUUAUUCUGGAUCCACACUGUCCAACAUGUGGCAGACUCAAAACAGUAAAGCAACAAAAUAAGAAUAUCACAGCAUAAAAUCAGCAAACCAUGAAACAAGCAUGCAAUAGAAAGACAAUUUACAAUAGCCUUUAAUUUAAACGCCUAAGUAAGAUGGAACAGUCUUACUUUGCAUUGAAGUCAGUCAAGUCAACCGCAAUGUCCAAAACUCCCAAAAUUGAAAAAGGAAAAAACCUUGUUCUCUUCAAGCAUUAGGCGUAAAGCUGGUGUCCCAGCUGCAAGUUCUCAGCAGAAUCUCUAGUACUUUAGGUUGGAAAACCGAGGAAAGUACUCUUCUUGUCGAGGAAUGGAGAGGUUGCUAAGGUAGGUCUCCACAGGUAGACGACUGAAGAGACAUUCAUGUCUACGGGAAUGCAGCAACAUGGGUUAACGCAGACCACUUUCUAGAAGUUCUCCAGUGAACACUGUGAAGGUUUGAAACAAAUCAUCUCCCUGACCAACAGGUUAGAAGAAAAAGGUUCAGAGCUCUUGUGCCUCCAUUGGGUUAUUCCUGGAGCACUAGGAAGACAAACCUGGAAAAACUUGACACCAAAUCCCUAAACUGAACUAAGAAUUUUGUGAAGCGUCCCAACUCUAAUAGUCAUAACUACAAAAACACAUUGUUCCUUCUUUAUUUCCAAUUUAACAUUAAAAAACUAUAGAUGCGCAAAGAAGUUAAAGUGUGACAAGAACUUGUCAAUCUUCAGCUUGAUCAGCCCUGACCGCUUUCCAAAAACUCAAAAAUUAGAUGUUUUCCAAUCAGUAAACACUCUAUAGCUAGACGCCACAGGAUUCUUUAGUUUUUAUUGGGGCUGAAAUGAUUAAUCGUAUAAAAGGACACAAUCAGAGAAGCAA